rnacentral:lncRNA from 1 species
UAAAAUUAAGCAUGGUGUAAAGUUGUAGGCAGGAAGAAUCCAUCUGAUUACGCCUGUUUGCCACCCGGUUUAUACCACCGAAACCAAGUUUAUUAAACAGGAAGAGACAAUAUUCUCCCAAAGAAUAAGAAUAAGUUCUACCAUUGCAAGAAAACAAAAAAAACAACUGUGUUCCCGUGAUAGCUCUAUGACCUAGUCCAUUAGCUGUGACGAUAUUACCACGAAACGACCAGAAAGAUAUCUAUCGCCUUUUUUCCAGCAAAUCCCUAUCUGAUAUCUACUCUCUGAGUACAACCAAAAACAUCAUGCGUUGCUAGACCCACACACUGAUUUUCAUAGCUCUGCUGUCAACGUCUAGAUCCAGAAUUAAGUGCAGAUUAUAUGUGACGCUCCCUGCAGCACGCAUGCUGGAGCACAGGAAGCCUUACGAUAAUGCUGGAUUGAGAUUUGGUUGGCUCCGAUAGGUUGAUGACCUGCUCAACUCAACAGCAUAGAAAAUGACUCCCUGACCAACCGAGGCCACGGCAAUAUAUCCCCCUAGUUCCUAUUAUGAGAUCCACAGAGUUUGAACCUUCCUACAGAAGCAUUCAGAAAAUAACGUUACUGUGCAGCAUGCAAUGAAUAAAUUGUGACCGAGAAGCAGAGCUGAGAGACCCAAAAUAAAGCUGGUACUACGCAGUGAAUAAUAACGUUCAUCUGUAGGUACAUUUAAGUAAAGAAAAGCAAACCAUUUUUUGGGGCUGCAGAGAACUGAACCAAGCAUAAAAAAAAAAGGGCAACCUGGUGCAUGUAGCUCCCGCUUGCGCAGG